AUUGAACGCUGGCGGCAUGCCUUACACAUGCAAGUCGAACGGUAACAGGUCUUCGGAUGCUGACGAGUGGCGAACGGGUGAGUAAUACAUCGGAACGUGCCCGAUCGUGGGGGAUAACGGAGCGAAAGCUUUGCUAAUACCGCAUACGAUCUACAGAUGAAAGCAGGGGACCGCAAGGCCUUGCGCGGACGGAGCGGCCGAUGGCAGAUUAGGUAGUUGGUGGGAUAAAAGCUUACCAAGCCGACGAUCUGUAGCUGGUCUGAGAGGACGACCAGCCACACUGGGACUGAGACACGGCCCAGACUCCUACGGGAGGCAGCAGUGGGGAAUUUUGGACAAUGGGCGAAAGCCUGAUCCAGCCAUGCCGCGUGCAGGAUGAAGGCCUUCGGGUUGUAAACUGCUUUUGUACGGAACGAAAAGACUCUUUCUAAUAAAGAGGGUCCAUGACGGUACCGUAAGAAUAAGCACCGGCUAACUACGUG
rnacentral:rRNA from 1 species